ACUGAGACACGGCCCAAACUCCUACGGGAGGCAGCAGUAGGGAAUCUUCCACAAUGGGCGAAAGCCUGAUGGAGCAACGCCGCGUGGGUGAAGAAGGUCUUCGGAUCGUAAAACCCUGUUGUUAGAGAAGAAAGUGCGUGAGAGUAACUGUUCACGUUUCGACGGUAUCUAACCAGAAAGCCACGGCUAACUACGUGCCAGCAGCCGCGGUAAUACGUAGGUGGCAAGCGUUAUCCGGAUUUAUUGGGCGUAAAGGGAACGCAGGCGGUCUUUUAAGUCUGAUGUGAAAGCCUUCGGCUUAACCGGAGUAGUGCAUUGGAAACUGGGAGACUUGAGUGCAGAAGAGGAGAGUGGAACUCCAUGUGUAGCGGUGAAAUGCGUAGAUAUAUGGAAGAACACCAGUGGCGAAAGCGGCUCUCUGGUCUGUAACUGACGCUGAGGUUCGAAAGCGUGGGUAGCAAACAGGAUUAGAUACCCUGGUAGUCCACGCCGUAAACGAUGAAUGCUAAGUGUUGGAGGGUUUCCGCCCUUCAGUGCUGCAGCUAACGCAAUAAGCAUUCCGCCUGGGGAGUACGACCGCAAGGUUGAAACUCAAAGGAAUUGACGGGGGCCCGCACAAGCGGUGGAGCAUGUGGUUUAAUUCGAAGCAACGCGAAGAACCUUACCAGGUCUUGACAUCUUCUGACAAUCCUAGAGAUAGGACUUUCCCUUCGGGGACAGAAUGACAGGUGGUGCAUGGUUGUCGUCAGCUCGUGUCGUGAGAUGUUGGGUUAAGUCCCGCAACGAGCGCAACCCUUAUUGUUAGUUGCCAGCAUUAAGUUGGGCACUCUAGCAAGACUGCCGGUGACAA
rnacentral:rRNA from 1 species